rnacentral:rRNA from 1 species
AAACCACCAGGGUUUUAUAUGAAAAAAGGGUUUGGCUAUCACUCAGGGAUGGACCCGCGGUGCAUUAGCUAGUUGGUAAGGUAACGGCUUACCAAGGCGAUGAUGCAUAGCCGACUUGAGAGGGUGAUCGGCCACAAUGGAACUGAGACACGGUCCAGACUCCUACGGGAGGCAGCAGUAGGGAAUCUUCCGCAAUGGGCGAAAGCCUGAUGGAGCAAUCGCCGCGUGAGU